AUACGUAGGUGACAAGCGUUAUCCGGAUUUACUGGGCGUAAAGGGCGUGUAGGCGGUCUUGCAAGUCAGAAGUGAAAUUCCUGAGCUCAACUCGGGCGCUGCUUCUGAAACUGCAGGACUUGAGUGCUGGAGGGGAUAGCGGAAUUCCUAGUGGAGCGGUAAAAUGCGCAGAUAUUAGGAAGAACACCGGUGGCGAAGGCGGCUAUCUGGACAGUAACUGACGCUGAGGCGCGAAAGCGUGGGAGCAAACAGGAUUAGAUACCCUGGUAGUCGACGCCGUAAACGAUGAAUACUAGGUGUAGGGGGUAUCGACUCCCUCUGUGCCGCAGUUAACACAAUAAGUAUUCCGCCUGGGGAGUACGGCCGCAAGGUUGAAACUUAAAGGAAUUGACGGGG
rnacentral:rRNA from 1 species